UCAGUUGAACUAUCAAUCAAUUUUCUCAAAGGCGAUCGCCUUUGGCGAAUGGCGAGGUGAGGCGCAGCCUUUACGCCCAUUACUGGCAAGGUGAGGCGACCUCAAAAUGGCGAGCAAAGGCAAGUGGGAGGUGAGGUUGGAAAGCAUGUGCAUUGGAUAACCAAAUUGAGGAUGAAGUCAGAACAAGUGUGCAUGUCACAAGGAGAGCUGAAGAAGGAACUCAACUCCACUUUCUCUCCGUGUCACGAAUAAUUUGAGAAGAAAAAUAUGGCCACGAAAAUAAAUUGGAACCAAAGGCCUCCGAAAAGGCUCCCUGUCGCGGAGCUAUCGUGGAUCGGGAUAAAAUGCAAAAUAGUUGCAGGGCUUGAACCAACUUCAAUUCUUCUGAGAUGAGGAGGAGGAGACACCACCGGAGACUGAAGAGGAGCAAGACCCUUGAAGGUUGGACUUGAACCAACUUCAAUUCUUCUAAGAUGAGGAGAAGGAGACGCCAUCAAAGAGUGAUGAGGAGCAAUACCCUAGACGACGGAAGAAAUCGGUGCCGUCAGUUUCAACGACGACCGAAGCUCUCUCAGUUUCUACUAUAGUAAUAAAUAAUUAUUAGGAUUGGGCUCUAUAGCGGAAUUGGGGGUUUGAUUGGACCACUAUAGAACAAUUGAGGAUCUGAUUGGGUCGUUAUAUAACCUUUAGCUAAAAAAUUUUUACUAGUGAGACCUAAAAUCUACUUGGCGAAGAAUGAGAGACCUCACACAAGUAUUGUAUAUGUGUGUCUCUCACACCAUAAAAUAUUUUAAACAAUUUUUAUAAGUAACUUUAAAUAACUAAUAAAAUAAGAAAGUUGAUAUUUGGGGUUGGGGUUUUAUAACAGAAUGGGGGUUUUAGAAGGAAAAGCAAGUCGAAAUUUGGGGUUAGGAUUUUAGAACAGGGGUUUUAGCACAUAAAAAGGUUUUAUAAGGAGAGAUAGGGGCUUCUUCUUCUUUUUGUUUAUCUAUGUUAGUAAUAAAA